rnacentral:lncRNA from 1 species
CCCUAAUUAACAUAAACACAAUAUCUAACACUUCCCCUCAAGCUGGAGCAUACAGAUUGUAUGGACCAAGCUUGAAAUACAUAAACUCAAUUUGAAAUAUGUAAUCUGUCUUCAAGAGUGUGCAGCAAGCAAAUGCGCAAUCACAUGUCGACGAACAACUAACAACAAUUUAUGGAUAGUGGUGGACAACUGCGAAACUUCAAAUGGCACCAUGAAACUUCAAGUAGGAUGACUUUGACAAAGGAGGACAAUGACAAAUUGCAGGGACUGGAUUACCAUCAAGUAAGGAUGAGGCUUGCAGUGGCUGAUAGCGACAAAACUAUAGGGACUGCCAUCACUGACUGACGGGGCCUAUAGUGGCUAAAAGCGACAAAACUACAGGGACUGCCAUCACUGACUGAUGGGGCCUGUAGUGGCGAAAAGCGACGACAAAACUGCAAGGACUUCCAUCAUUGACUAGUGGAGCCUGCAAUGCAACGGCUGUGGAAACAUACCCCCCCUCACGGUGAACGACGGAGAUGACGGNGCGCCGAUCACAAACCGUGAAAGUGGAAGAUGAUAAUGAGCUCUUAUUCAUCAAAGCACCCAAAAACAAAUCUGACAAAUUUGACAAAGGGUUGGUGAAAUUGUUUCAACCCAUAAUUUUGGUGUUGAAAUUCUUUAGUGUUAACCACCGAUUGUCCUUGGAGACCUUUCAGAAUAAAGAAGAAGAUAGCGGAAGCAAUAGAGGUAGGACUAGGUGUUGGUGCAUCGGUGGCACAAGUGGCGGAGAUGAUUGUCAGCAACAUUGGUAGGUGACAGUGGUCGGUGACGGUGGCCAGAGACGGUGAUCGGAGACGGUGGCCGGAGAAGGUGGCUGGAGACAGUGGCCAGAGACGGUGGCCGGAGACGGUGGUUGGCGACGGUGCCGGCGACGGUGGCCAGAGCCAGUGACGGUGGCCGGUGGCAGUGGACAGCCGGCAGGUGGCAACUGGUGGCUAGCGGCAAUGGGUAGUGGCGGACAACAACACCGGACAGAUGCAAGACAGGAACUAGAGAUGAUUGCCCAUUGAAGUAUAAAGGCACAGGUUGAAAAAGAGACU